UAAAUAUUAUAUGAUAAUAUGGUAUGCGACGCGGCGGCUUGUCCGGAUAAACUCUUGUGAGUUUUUGUGGCAGGCUUAUGAAUAAGUGUUAAGUAUGUGUUUUUUGUAUUUUGUACAAAAAA